rnacentral:rRNA from 1 species
UACGUAGGGGGCUAGCGUUGUCCGGAAUCAUUGGGCGUAAAGAGCGUGUAGGCGGCCCGGUAAGUCCGCUGUGAAAGUCGGGGGCUCAACCCUCGAAUGCCGGUGGAUACUGUCGGGCUAGAGUGCGGAAGAGGCGAGUGGAAUUCCGUGGUGUAGCGGUGAAAUGCGCAGAUAUCAGGAGGAACACCAAUUGCGAAGGCAGCUCGCUGGGACGGUACUGACGCUGAGACGCGAAAGCGUGGGGAGCAAACAGG